ACUAAAUGAAAAGGUAAUGGAAACAUCUGUAAAUUGUAAUGUAACAAACGAAAUAAAGAAACCCUACAGCUACAGCCUGCAAUACAUUGUUUCUCAAAUCAAACCCUUCAAGCGUCCAACUCCCAAAAUUAGAAACGCUCUUCCCUUUCUCAUUUUUCAAUCAGAUUAAGCCGCUGUUCUUCCCCCUUCCCUUUCCUCUCAAAUCAGCAACCAUGCACGGCUCCAACUCUCAAAGAAACUCGCAUUUUACAUUAAUUCUCUUUCGGGAUGGAAGCUACAACUUCUGGAACGAAAUCGCUGGUGAUUGACAACAACCUUCCGAUUGUGCCAACAGUAACUCAACAACAACAAGGUAAAGACAUUCCUCAUGGACGCACUCCUCAUAAAAAACAAAGAAGAACAACUCCUAAAGAACCUUCUAAAUCUGGGAAUACUGGUAGAGAGACUUUUGAGAUUUGGUAUCACUUCUCCAAAUUUAAAGCUAAAGGAGGUAAAUGUAGGGCGAAAUGCAAUUACUAUCCUAAAAUAUUUGCUGCCAAAAGCAAGAAUGGAACUACUACAUUAUGGUUACAUCUAACUGAGAAAUGUAACAAAUCUCCCUUUAGAAUCAUUGAUAAGAGACAAACAACAUUAAAGCCAAUUAAAGAAGGGUGGACAGAAGGUGGUUCGGGUUCUAAUGAAAAGGUGGUGUAUAAUGUAGAUGAUAUUAGGUGGGACAUUGCUGAAUUUGUAAUUACUGACGAGCAGUAAUUAGAGUUGUAGAGGGAGAAGGAUUUAAGAAAUUGAUGGCUAAAGCCUUACCGAAUUUUGAAUUAUCUUCUCGUGUUACUGUUGCUAGGCAUUGCUUGAGGAUUUAUCAAGAAGAGAAAGAUAAGCUUAAAUAUCUUAUCAAGAACCAGCACAUUUUCCUUACUAGUGACACAUGGACAUCACUCCAAAAUUUGACUUAUGUGGUUGUCACUGCACAUUGGAUUGAUGACCAAUAGAAUUUACAAAAGAAAAUCCUGAACUUUUUUCAAACACCAGAUCACAAAGGAGAGACUAUUGCUAAGGGAAUUGAGGAAUGUUUAUUGGGUGGGACAUUGAGAACCUGUUUACAGUAACCUUAGAUAAUGCAACUGCCAAUGAUGCUGAAAUAAAGCAUUUGAAAGUGCUGAUGGAUGAUUGGGGCGGGGUAAUACUUGGGAAUGAAUUUUUACAUGUUAGGUGUAAUGCUCACAUAUUGAACUUGAUUGUAAAAGAAGGGUUGGAUGAACAAAUUGAGCCCAGUUCUCGUGUAAGGAAUGCGGUGAAAUAUGUUAGGUCUUCCCCUUCAAGGUUUGCUUCUUUUAAGUCAUUAAUUGAAAAAACUAAGAUAGACACUCAUGGUCUUGUGAGCCUUGAUGUUGAAACUAGAUGGAACUCGACAUAUACAAUGUUAGAUACGGCUAUAAAAUUUGAAAAAGCCUUUACAAGAAUGUAUCUAGAUGACCAUAAAUAUCAAAAGUAUUGUCAAGAAAUAAGUGCAUUAAAAGGAAAUCCAUCGGCAGAUGACUGAAAGAAUGUGAGAGCUUUUGUCAAGUUUCUUGAUCUUUUCUACCAGACCACUUUAAAAAAUUUCGGGACUUUGUAAGUUACUUCCAACUGUUUCUCUCGUGAAUUUUUUACUCUUUGAAGUUCUAUUAAUAAGUAUUCUACCAGUGAAGAUCUUAUUUUGGUUGAUAUGGCAGCACAGAUGAAAAGUAUAUUUGAGAAGUAUUGGGGUAAGUUUGAGAAGAUGAAUAUGUUGUUGCUUGUUGCUGUUGUGUUAGAUCCCAGAUAUAAGAUGAAGUAUGUGAACUUCACUCUUACCAAAGCAUAUGGUACUUUGUUGGGAAGAUUAAAGUCGGCGGAUGUGGCAAGUGUUUUAACUCGUUUGUAUAAUUCCUACAAUAAUUCUGUCUUUGAGGCUUCUUCUGAUGACCAUAAUGGAGGUGACACUAGCAUGAUGAGUGAAGCCGGUGAUUUGUUGCAAUCUGAGUGGGAGAAACAUUUGGAAGACGAGGGAAAUAUUGCAAAAAACCUGAUCUUGAGAUAUACUUGAUGGAUGAUGUGGUGAAGGAUAAAGAUUUUGAUAUCUUGGCUUGGUGGAAAGUUUUGUCUAGUAAAUAUCCAGUUGUUUCAAAAAUUGCUAGAGAAGUUCUUUCUAUUGAUAUUUUUACUGUUGCAUCUGAAUCGACAUUUAGUACAUAUGGUCGAAUUCUUAAUUCUUACCGGAGUUCUUUAUCGCCAAAAACAGUAGAAGCUCCUAUUUGUACUCUACGAUGGAUACGAUCACCUUCUAAAGAAUACAAGUUUCACGACAGUUUACAAGAAGUCUAGAAAAUUGAGCAAGUUGAAGAAGAGUACCUACGCUCGCCUUUGAGUAUUGAUUAGCCAGCUUUGUUCAUGAUGCACCAUCUACGUGAGAAUUGAUGAGGAAAUAGAACCAGAUGCAGAUUGUUUCCAACACUUCGUGGGUGUGUAGUUACAUUUGUCUUGUGUUUACUUGAGAGUUGAGACAACUUCAGUUGUAAUAGUCUAGAUGAUUUAGAGUAUACUCAAACUCUAAGGUGGAUUUUUGUUUUUGCGACAUUCUAUUUUGUGUAAAACUGUAGUUGUUUUAAUUUUGUGGAAGAAACUAUAUUAGUUUGCUUUCCCAGGCAAGCAGUUCUACA